rnacentral:rRNA from 1 species
GAUGAACGCUGGCGGCGUGCCUAAUACAUGCAAGUCGAGCGAACGGACGAGAAGCUUGCUUCUCUGAUGUUAGCGGCGGACGGGUGAGUGACACGUGGAUAACCUACCUAUAAGACUGGGAUAACUUCGGGGAACCGUAGCUAAUACCGGAUAAUAUUUUGAACCGCAUGGUUCAAAAGUGAAAGACGGUCUUGCUGUCACUUAUAGAUGGAUCCGCGCUGCAUUAGCUAGUUGGUAAGGUAACGGCUUACCAAGGCAACGAUGCAUAGCCGACCUGAGAGGUGAUCGGCCACACUGGAACUGAGACACGGUCCAGACUCCUACGGGAGGCAGCAGUAGGGAAUCUUCCGCAAUGGGCGAAAGCCUGACGGAGCAACGCCGCGUGAGUGAUGAAGGUCUUCGGAUCGUAAAACUCUGUUAUUAGGGAAGAACAUAUGUGUAAGUAACUGUGCACAUCUUGACGGUACCUAAUCAGAAAGCCACGGCUAACUACGUG